UACGUAGGGGGCGAGCGUUGUCCGGAAUGACUGGGCGUAAAGGGUACGUAGGCGGCCAGAUAAGUCAGAUGUGAAAGGCAUGGGCUUAACCCGUGUUAGCAUUUGAAACUGUGUGGCUUGAGUUAAGGAGAGGAAAGUGGAAUUCCUGGUGUAGCGGUGAAAUGCGUAGAUAUCAGGAGGAAUACCAGUGGCGAAGGCGACUUUCUGGACUUAAACUGACGCUGAGGUACGAAAGCGUGGGGAGCAAACA
rnacentral:rRNA from 1 species